rnacentral:SRP_RNA from 2 species
AUGUGGGUCUCGUGCAAUAUAGUCCCGUGAACCCUGUCAGGUCCGGAAGGAAGCAGCAGUAAGCGGAUUUCUGUAUGUGCCGCGGGGGUGCCUACCCCGA